rnacentral:rRNA from 1 species
AAGCGGAGGAGCAUGUGGUUUAAUUCGAUUGAUACGCGAGGAACCUUACCUGGGCUCGAACGUAAGAUGACUGUAGGUGAAAGCUUACAUCUCUUCGGAGCAUUUUACGAGGUGCUGCAUGGUUGUCGUCAGCUCGUGCCGUGAGGUGUCGGGUUAAGUCCCAUAACGAGCGCAACCCCUACCUUUAGUUGCCAUCAGGUUAAGCUGGGGACUCUAAAGGAACUGCCUACGCAAGUAGUGAGGAAGGCGGGGAUGACGUCAAAUCAGCACGGCCCUUACGUCCAGGGCUACACACGUGCUACAAUGGCCGAUACAGAGGGCAGCUACCUGGUGACAGGAUGCAAAUCUCCAAAGUCGGUCUCAGUUCGGAUCGGAGUCUGCAACCCGACUCCGUGAAGUUGGAUUCGCUAGUAAUCGCGCAUCAGCCAUGGCGCGGUGAAUACGUUCCCGGGCCUU